rnacentral:tRNA from 1 species
AAAAAUUUAAGAGUUAUAGUUAACUAUAAUAUCUAAUUUGCAAUUAGAAGGUGUUUUAAACUAACUUUA